rnacentral:rRNA from 1 species
CGACCGGCGCACGGGUGAGUAACGCGUAUCCAACCUGCCCUUUACUAUGGGACAGCCCGUCGAAAGGCGGAUUAAUACCGUAUGUUGUCAUGUUGAUGCAUAUUUUCAUGACCAAAGGCUUCGGCCGGUAAAGGAUGGGGAUGCGUCUGAUUAGCUUGCCGGCUGGGUAACGGCCCACCGGGGCGACGAUCAGUAGGGGUUCUGAGAGGAAGGUCCCCCACAUUGGAACUGAGACACGGUCCAAACUCCUACGGAAGGCAGCAG